rnacentral:sRNA from 1 species
GGCAAACUUCGAUGAGAAUGACCCCAAGACCUUUGAGGGCGUUGACCCCCAGACUACCAGCAUGCGUGACGUCUACCGGAAGUUUGAUCUGGGCCAGGAUGUCAUCGAUUUCACUGGCCAUGCCCUGGCGCUCUACCGCACUGAUGAGUGAGGGGAAGCUGGGUGGUGGUAGCCCCCUCGCCCGGCCCGCCCCCGCCCUUCCCACACCUGCCUGCUGUCCCCCUGCCCCGCAUGUCUCUUGUACUCAGCCACCGGCUCACCUAUCACCCUUUCCAUUUCCCCCUUGCAUUUGAUCCUCAUCUUCCCCAGGCCAUUCAGGGUGGUGGGAAGACUGGCCUGGUACCUGGGUGGGGGUAAGUCAGGGGUGCUGCUAUUCCCCCAGCUACCUGGACCAGCCCUGCCUUGAGACCGUCAACCGCAUCAAGUUGUACAGUGAGUCCCUGGCCCGGUAUGGCAAGAGCCCGUAUUUAUACCCGCUCUACGGCUUGGGCGAGCUGCCCCAGGGUUUUGCAAGAUUGAGUGCCAUCUAUGGGGGGACAUAUAUGCUGAACAAACCUGUGGAUGACAUCAUCAUGGAGAACGGCAAGGUGGUGGGCGUGAAGUCUGAGGGAGAGGUGGCCCGCUGCAAGCAGCUGAUCUGUGACCCCAGCUACAUCCCGGACCGUGUGCGGAAGGCUGGCCAGGUUAUCCGCAUCAUCUGUAUCCUUAGCCACCCCAUCAAGAACACCAACGACGCCAACUCCUGCCAAAUAAUCAUCCCCCAGAACCAGGUCAACAGGAAGUCAGACAUCUACGUGUGCAUGAUCUCCUAUGCACACAACGUGGCGGCCCAGGGCAAGUACAUAGCUAUUGCCAGCACUACUGUGGAGACCACGGACCCUGAAAAGGAGGUGGAGCCGGCUCUGGAGCUGUUGGAGC